rnacentral:lncRNA from 1 species
AUAGAUAGUCAUACCCACCUGAUGGGAUUUUGGGGAGUUUUAGUGAGGGAAAUCUGGAUAUUUCCCUACUUAAUCUAAUAAGUCCCCACGACUUAUAUUCCAAUUGGGAGGUUAUUUGCGCUAUUAUUUUAUUUAUUAACACUUAGAAACUUCUCUUAAAUACUCUACAAUUCUUUCUAAGGCUUUUGGGAAAGGAAAGCUAGGGUUUCAUCUG